rnacentral:rRNA from 1 species
UACGGAGGGGGCUAGCGUUGUUCGGAAUUACUGGGCGUAAAGCGUACGUAGGCGGCUUUGUAAGUUAGAGGUGAAAGCCCGGGGCUCAACUCCGGAAUUGCCUUUAAGACUGCAUCGCUUGAAUUAUGGAGAGGUGAGUGGAAUUCCGAGUGUAGAGGUGAAAUUCGUAGAUAUUCGGAAGAACACCAGUGGCGAAGGCGACUAACUGGACAUGUAUUGACGCUGAGGUACGAAAGCGUGGGGAGCAAACAGG